GACGAACGCUGGCGGCGUGCCUAAUACAUGCAAGUAGGACGCAGUUGCGAACGGGAGAGUAACGCGUAGGUAACUACCUAUUAGAGGGGGAUAACUAUUGGAAACGCUAGCUAAAAUCGCAUACUAGUAGAUGGACGUGCGUGGUAUUAGCUAGUAGGUAGGGUAAUGGCCUACCUAGGAAACGAAACAUAGCCGGCCUGAGGAGGGGUUCGGGCCAAACGGGGCUGGGACACGGCCCAGGCUCCUACGGUGAGCAACAGUAGGGAAUCUUCGGGAAUUGGGCGAACCCUGACCGAGCAACGCCCCGGGAGUUGAAGAGGUUUUCGGAUCGUAAAGCUCUGUUGUUAAGAAAGCGGUACUUAACCAGAAAGGGACGGCUAACUACGUGCCAGCAGCCGCGGUAAUAC
rnacentral:rRNA from 1 species